GCCACAGCCAUAUCACCCUACAGCCCAAGACUGGUUGCCCACUGAAGCCAAGCAGGGUUGAGCCUGGACAGUACCUGGAUGGGAGACCUCCUGGGAAAACUAAGUUGCUGCUGGAA
rnacentral:rRNA from 1 species